rnacentral:rRNA from 1 species
UGCCUACGGGACGCAGCAGUGGGGAAUAUUGCACAAUGGGGGAAACCCUGAUGCAGCGACGCCGCGUGAGUGAAGAAGUAUCUCGGUAUGUAAAGCUCUAUCAGCAGGAAAGAUAAUGACGGUACCUGACUAAGAAGCCCCGGCUAACUACGUGCCAGCAGCCGCGGUAAUACGUAGGGGGCAAGCGUUAUCCGGAUUUACUGGGUGUAAAGGGAGCGUAGACGGAAGCGCAAGUCUGGAGUGAUAUGACGGGGCCCAACCC